rnacentral:rRNA from 1 species
GACGAACGCUGGCGGCGUGCCUAAUACAUGCAAGUCGAACGCAGUGGGGACGGGUGAGUAACACGUGGGUAACCUCCCAUCAGAGGGGAUAACACUUGGAAACAGGUGCUAAACCGAUACUGAUGGAUGGACCCGCGGUGCAUUAGCUAGUUGGUGAGGUAACGGCUCACCAAGGCCACGAUUCAUAGCCGACCUGAGAGAGAAGUGCGCCAGACGGGGACAUAGAAACGGCCCAAACUCCUACGGGAGGCAGCAGUGGGGAAUCUUCGGCAAUGGACAAAAGUCAGACCGAGCGACGCCGCGUGGGUGAAAAAGGUUUUCGGAUCGUAAAACUCUGUUGUUAGAGAAGCGGUAUCUAGCCAAAAAGCCACGGCUAACUACGUGCCAACAGCCGCGGGAAUUC